GGUGAAAAGCACCCCGGAAGGGGAGUGAAAUAGAACCUGAAACCGUGUGCUUACAAGUAGUCAGAGCCCGUUAAUGGGUGAUGGCGUGCCUUUUGUAGAAUGAACCGGCGAGUUACGAUUUGAUGCAAGGUUAAGCAGUAAAUGUGGAGCCGUAGCGAAAGCGAGUCUGAAUAGGGCGUUUAGUAUUUGGUCGUAGACCCGAAACCAGGUGAUCUACCCUUGGUCAGGUUGAAGUUCAGGUAACACUGAAUGGAGGACCGAACCGACUUACGUUGAAAAGUGAGCGGAUGAACUGAGGGUAGCGGAGAAAUUCCAAUCGAACCUGGAGAUAGCUGGUUCUCUCCGAAAUAGCUUUAGGGCUAGCCUCAAGUGAUGAUUAUU
rnacentral:rRNA from 1 species